rnacentral:rRNA from 1 species
UACGAAGGGGGCUAGCGUUGCUCGGAAUCACUGGGCGUAAAGCGCACGUAGGCGGAUUGUUAAGUCAGGGGUGAAAUCCUGGAGCUCAACUCCAGAACUGCCUUCGAUACUGAGAGUCUCGAGUCCGGGAGAGGUGAGUGGAACUGCGAGUGUAGAGGUGAAAUUCGUAGAUAUUCGCAAGAACACCAGUGGCGAAGGCGGCUCACUGGUCCGGUACUGACGCUGAGGUGCGAAAGCGUGGGGAGCAAACAGG